AUGCUCAAUAAAUGUCAACUGUUUAUUAACCACUUUCACUUCUCACUACUCUUUUUUGGCCAUUCCAGAAUCCACGUGAUUUCUUCAGCCUGGGAUGGGAGGAGAGUUUCAUUACAGCUUUUCACGUCAAAAUUCUCGGCUCAGCUGGAGACUGGACUGCAGAAGCUUUAUGAAGCCUCAGACUGCGGGGACCCACUCAGGUAUUCUGUUAAUAAAAACAAGAAUGAGAGCAACAAGUCCAAUGCAUGUGUGUUUUUAUUUUUCUUGGAGUGUUUUUAUAAUAUAUGUGUCAACAGAAAAUAGAUCCCCUCUUUUUUGGGAGGAAUGUUGGCUCAUAUUGUACAAAUUAAUAUUACCAUCUUGACUGAUCCUUUGGUAACAGGAUACCAGUGUGAAUAGACAAGAGGGGAUAGAAAAAUUAGGAGAGAAUUUAA
rnacentral:lncRNA from 1 species